AAAUGACAUAGCCAUUUCUUUAUGCAUCAGGUUUAUACCGAUACACUGAGUCACUGACGCCAACUGCGCGACAGGCCAUACGAAGGCUUACCCCGUGUUUCUCGCGGGCAUAAUCAACAAGCUCUCGCCUAAUCGCUGACUUU
rnacentral:sRNA from 1 species